GGAACCCACAACUCCACAGCGACCCAACCUGCUGCAGUCAGAUUCUUAAACCCACUGUGAUGAUGAGAACUCCACCAACUGCAGUCUUUUAAUGUACAAAUGAUAGUAUGUUUAUGUCUAACAAGAGGGUUCAAGUCUAAUUUCUGUCCUUCCUUUACUGGCUUAUUGUAGAUGGACCCCAAUAACCUUUAUCCACGUGCUUUUUCUCCAUAUAUCUGCCCUGCGAAUAAAUAAAAGCCCCGCUGUGAGAAUUAACACUCCCUUGAUCCUCCUUAUUCUUCCCAACCCUCUAAAAUCCCUGCCAUCAUUUACCUCUUGUCCUGCCCUGUGUAGCUGCUGGUCCUGGGGUUGACCAUCAGUUACACACUCAUCUGUCCCACUUCAAUGACCCUGUCUGACCACACAUAUCAGCUCUGAUACUUACUUCAGUGGCCCCAACUUUGACAACUGACUUUGAACAUGUAUAUCAGGCUUGAACUUUGCUCUCCCUGGUCUCUGACCUUUACCCUCUGGCCUUAAUCAUCAUAGCCAUGGGUACAGGCACACUCAGCAUGCCAGGGCUAUUCCUUGCUCCAUGUCCCCACCUCCUUCCAUGGAUGAAGCUCCCAUUGUACAUCUCUUACCCAGUACCAGCUGAGUUGCCAGAGAGCACAGUUGAUUUAUUUUGCUUUUAGGGCUGCCAUGCAAUUUCCAUACCGUCUUUGAGGCAGUGCUGCACUGUAAAGACAGCAGCUUUAUUUUGGGAAUGGUUUCUUCUUAGGGUUAGAAGAAUCGAGACAAUAUAUUUUUGGAUGGACAGUGACUCAGGUGAGGUAUCGCUGAAAAUGUCUCUCCAUCUACCUGAUCCUCUCAUCAAAGUUGUGAAUAGUCAAAACCUUUUUGGGUUCCCAGGGCCUACACUUAACACAUAAUAAAAAUGUCCACACGGGGAGUUCCUGUCGUGGCGCAGCAGAAACAAAUCCGACUAGGAACUAUGAGGUUGUGGGUUUGAUCCCUGGCCUCGCUCAGUGGGUUAAGUACCCGGUGUUGCUGGGAGCUGUGGUGUAGGUCGCAGACACGGCUUGGAUCUGGUGUUGCUGUGGUGUAGGCUGGUGGCUACAGCUCCGACUGGAUCCCUAGCCUGUAAACCUCCAUGUGUCGCGGGGGAAGCCCUAAAAGACAAUUAAAAAAAAAAAAAAAGUACACAUGAUGGAGAGGAGUUUUUGCAGGAUUUUUGUUUUUUCCUUGGGGAUUUUAUAAUAAAAAGAGAAUUAUACGAAUAUAAUAAUAAAGGGAAGAUUUUUCAAUAAUACCUAAAAUUUUGCAACCUUCAUGUUACGAGUGGCUCAAGAUUACAUUAUUUCCUAAGAUGUUUAGACUUACUGUUCCAUUGACUCAUGUUUGUUGAUUACAGGGGCUCAGUCAUUGGAAUCUAUGAAGUAUUUGAUAACAAUCUAAACAAUAAAAACCAAGAACCAUGCUAUCAUCACAAUCAUUAUUUUGGCUUUGGAUUGUCUUAAUAUUUGGGUUAAGAAUGUCAGGACAAAGAAAGAUGUUCCUGGCCUCCAACUUUCAUCCCUGAUGGUGAAAGCAGCUGCUCAUUGAUCUACUUGCCUAAGAGCUUCUCCUCUAGAGCCUGAGGCUUCUGAUGAUUGCUGCCUUUGAUUCACCUAAGAAGGUCACGUUCUGCCAGAGGAGGGAGACUGGUGCCUUUUAGUAGGUUAAAUAAGACUUCAGACCCCUGGACAUAAGAUAGCUGGAAGCACGUAGACCAUCAGGAGCCCCUUGCUGAGGAAGAAACCCAAACUGGCUCCAGGGGAACUCACCAAGCUUGCACUGUGGCCUCUUCCUUCUUCCCUCUUCUUUCCCCAUCACUGGCUUGGCUGAGUGAAAAAGAACGCAAAAUACAGCCACUUAUAUGAGUGACUUACCAUGUAGCUAGAUAAACAUCAUACGUGCCAUUAAAUGUAUCUUUCUUAUAAAUCUUGUUUGAUUACAACACUAAA
rnacentral:lncRNA from 1 species